UACGGAGGGGGCUAGCGUUGUUCGGAAUUACUGGGCGUAAAGCGCACGUAGGCGGCGCUUUAAGUCAGAGGUGAAAGCCCGGGGCUCAACCCCGGAACAGCCUUUGAGACUGGAUUGCUUGAACAUCGGAGAGGUGAGUGGAAUUCCGAGUGUAGAGGUGAAAUUCGUAGAUAUUCGGAAGAACACCAGUGGCGAAGGCGGCUCACUGGACGAUUGUUGACGCUGAGGUGCGAAAGCGUGGGGAGCAAACAGG
rnacentral:rRNA from 1 species